UACGUAGGGUGCGAGCGUUGUCCGGAAUUACUGGGCGUAAAGAGCUCGUAGGUGGUUUGUCGCGUUGUUCGUGAAAACUCACGGCUUAACUGUGAGCGUGCGGGCGAUACGGGCAGACUGGAGUACUGCAGGGGAGACUGGAAUUCCUGGUGUAGCGGUGGAAUGCGCAGAUAUCAGGAGGAACACCGGUGGCGAAGGCGGGUCUCUGGGCCGAUACUGACGCUGAGGAGCGAAAGCGUGGGGAGCGAACAGG
rnacentral:rRNA from 1 species